rnacentral:tRNA from 1 species
UGGCUCAGUUGGUAGAGCAGGGUGCUUGCAAUGCUAGGGGUGUGGGUUUGAUUCCCAC